AGCCAUUUGGAUGUGCCUUAUGCCACUAUUCUUGCAACAUACCUGGUUCCCUAAAAAGACAUUAUAAUAAAAAGCACCCCAAUGAAGAAUGUGUCAACGCUGGGACCGGAGAACUUUCUACAGAAGCUCUGGUUCUCCAAGGUACUGAAUAUUUUCUAACGUUUUGUGCUAUGUAGUGUAUGUUUAUUUGUACACGAUCUGUGGUAUUUGUUUGGCACAUUCAGCAUGGCCAUAUCCUCUUGCUAUGUCCCCAAAACUUACUGUGCAUUUUUAGAUUCUCAUUACUGUCUAUAACUGCAUGAUAUUGCCUGUUUUGGCUGUAUGAUUAAAAUAUAGCUAUGAUUUAUGCAAAAUAAAUCUACUCUUGAAUAGCCUACAUACAAAAAGUUUGUGGUGGGGACGAAUACAAUACAACUCCCCAGAGUGCAAAUAAAACAACAUAUUGCCUGCCUGUCUCACGUUGGUCUAUAAGGGCAUAUAAACUCAAGAAAUCAUGUUCCCUUAACUAUCCUACAGUACCUAGCUGGACAUGCAAAUGAGCACAGACAGGCAUCGUGUUGCAUACUUCAUUUCUGGAGAUAUAUUUAGCAAUGGACACAGUGGCUUACACAUGACCCAUGGGGCCCUGGUGCAAAAAUUGAUCUGUGGCCCCCCCCCCUUCCCCCGCGCUUACUCUGCGCGGGUCGGGGCUGCAACACAUGGCGGCGGGCACCUGCUCGCAGGGGUUGCAGGGCUGCGACCCUGCGACCGCGGUAUGCACAAACACUUAAAGGACCACUACAGACACCCAGAUCACAUUAGCUCAAUGAAGUGGUCUGGAUGCCAGGUCCCUCUAGUUUUAACCCUGCAGAUGAAAACAUAGCAGUGUCAGAGAAACGGCUAUGUUUCACUGAGGGUUAAUCCAGCCUCUGGUGGCUGUCUCAUUGACAGCUGCUAGAGGAGCUUCCGCGAUUCUCACUGUGAAAAUCACAGUGAGAAGACACUGAACGUCCAUAGGAAAGCAUUGAGUAAUGCUUUCCUAUGGGCGGUUUAAAUGCGCGCACGCCUCUUGCCGCGCAUGUGCUGGAUCCCCAGCGCCAAGGGAGUCCGAUGCUGGAGAAAGGUAAAUGCUGAAGACACACACACUCUCACGAACAGACGCAUACACACUAGCUAACAUACACACACAUUUACUGACAGAGACACACUCAGCGACAGACAUACAUACACACUCACUUACAAAACAUACACUUUCACUGACAAACACACACUCACUAACAGACAUCAAACACACUCAGUAACAGACACACACAGUAACACAAUCACUAGCAGACAUCAAACACACUCAGUAACAGACACACACAGUAACACACUCACUAGCAGACACACACCCAAUAACAUACACACUCACUGACACAUACACUAAAACACUAACACACACACACACAAACACAUACUAACAGACACACUAACACUAACACACACAAACACUAACACACACACACUAACACAAACACUAACACACACACACUAACACACAAACACAUACUAACAGACACACUAACACACACACACUAACACACAAACACAUACUAACAGACAAACUAACACACACAAACACUAACACACACACUAACAAACACACACACAUUUUUUUUUAAAUGUAAUCCCCCCAGCCUCGUUACCUUUUGAAGUGCUGGAGGGGUUCCCUGGGGUCCAGUGGGGCUGCUGACCCCGGCGGGUGGGCUCGCUGUUUGGGUGGCCGGCACGCGAGGGAGCACUCUGCUCUGAGUGCUUCCUCUUCAGCUCCCUCGCGCGCCGCAUAGGGAUGCCGGCGCCGGAAGAUGACGUCAUCUUCCGGCUCCGGUAUCAGUGCGGUGCGUGAUGGAGCUGAAGAGGAAGCACUCAGAGCAGAGUGCUCCCUCGCGUGCCGGCCACCCAAACAGCCAGCCCGCCCGCCCGCCGGGGUCAGCAGGGCCAGCCUCAGGGGGCCCUGAGGUGGCCACCUCCUGGGCCCCCCAGGAGAAGAAGCUGGCCCUGUGGGUACAUACCGGGUCGCAGGGGGGGCCGGGGCCCCUGUUGGGCCGGGCCCAGUCGCAGCCGCGACCCUGGUAUGUAUGCCACUGAAUGGACACAUAGCAUUGUUUAAACCAAAUCAUGGGACAUGAUCUAAAAGGAUUGGUGACCAGAAAUCAGCCAUGAGCUGCAACUGAAAAAAGCUGUGGCAGUCCAAUCACAGACUUUCCAAUGCUCAAUGAGAAGUCUUUGCAAGGCAGGUGCUCUGAGCACAUGCUACCUCUUAAGUUUAAUUUCCACUGAGCUAAUAAAACCAGGAAGUAACAUGACUAGAUGUCUGAUUGACAGCCAGAGGGGUGUAACCAGGUUAAUUUAUAAAAGUGCCAGUUUCUGCACUUUUUGUAAAGUGGAAAAAAUAAGAGGGCAUACUGUUCACACAUAAAUCACUUUAGCAAGCUAAAGUGCUUUAGGUGCUUGGAGUGUCCCUUUAAGUCUAGCUUGAUGGGCUCCUUUAAGGCACUUGCAGAAUAUGGAGGUGGAUUGUCACUGGAGAGAACAUAAUGCCUUUAGCAGCAUUAGGAUGGAAAACAUGGAAGUAUCUAGGUGGAGCGCGUUUAUUGGAAAUAUCUAGCCUUUAGCAUGAGAGAUGUGGCAGCCUGGAGGUGGAACCUGUUUGGAGUGAUGACUUUCUCUCUGUAUCAGUAUCAACAGAUAAUACCUGCUCUUCCCAAAAUGCUUCAAGCGUGCACCAUCUUGGGAUCUCCAAUCUGACACCAUUUACAGUUUGUCUAGUAAUCUCUUCACAAUUAAACUGGUACUUCCCAGACUGGGCUCCUAAGGACCAUAAAGAGAAAUAUGAAUGGAAGGAGAUGACCAACUGUAACGUUGGCAGAUAACUAAGAAGAGAAUGUGUCCAACAGUCUUGUUUAUUAGUCCGUUGUUUUCAGUGUGGUGUUUAGAAAGGUAGUCCAAUCAGUUUGCAAACGUAUGAGUUUGAGCAGAGGAAAACAGGACAGUUAAAUAAUGUUUUGGUGUUGAUGUUUCAAUGAAAAAAUAAAAGAUUAUUAUUCAACAAAAAUUGCAAAAGUACAAGUCUGUAUGCAGUAUACACUAGUAUGUAUGAAGUUUUACAUAUUCAAUCGUUGGAUUUCUAUGCAUUUUUUCCCUUUAAAAAUUGUAUUAAACAGCAGAGAUACCGCAGGCACAGAGUUUUUACUUUUUCCUGAGAAGGGACCAAAGUCGGCUAUCUCGCCAUGAAGUCAGAUAGUCGUUAGAGGAUAAAACAGACUUCCAGAUUUGCGAAAUAUAGAACUCACUCUUGCUCUCUCUCUCUGUAGUUUUCUUGAAGUAGGCACAAAGUGCAGGGAGCUAAAGAUAGAUUCAAAAAAAGUAGUUUUUAAUUCUUACAUACACUGACAUUACUGUUAAAAUAUUAAUUCAAUGCAGUAUAUUAAUGUUUAUUAACUUCUUCCUGAAGUUAGAACAUUCCAUACUGUCCUCCAAAGUGCGGGCUUUAACACCAUUAGAAUGGAAAAUGUCCUAACGAUUUGACUGAUUGGGCUUAGAUUUUUAGUGGCAACAGACUGUGCAUACAACUCUUACAUUUAACAAUUACAUUUAAAUGCCCAUUGACUGCCAUGUGGUUUGAGCUUACACCAGGAGACCCAGGUAUCACUAGAUACCCGAGACACCCCUCUGUGAGCUGGGGCCAAAUUUAGUGGCUAGUUAUAUGCAUUGACUGUUAAAUGCAUUGAGAACACCGUGGCAGAAACAUGGUGCUUCACCACUGUGAUUCUUAUGUUGCUGAAACUCUAAGGGAGACUUCUAGGGGCUGGACAGACCCUGCCAAUGUCUCCCUGCAUGCACCCAAGCCUACUGUGAUCAGUUCUGGGGUUUGCCAGCUGCCCAGCACCGUUAACAGUGUAAUCAGUUGGAAAAGCAGGCUUCAUUCAUAAUUCGGGAUUAUUCUAGCUUUAGUGACUGAAUAAUCUAAAUUUUAUUAAAGACAGGAGGCGAAUAUUUGCUUCCCAGCAGCAAAGAAAUAGUUAAACAUAUAGAGAAAAAAUCAACCAAUCAGGACACAUAUUAGAACAUAACAGUCUGUCAGGCUCCUCCCAAAUCCUCUUUCUGAUGCAGCCGAUCAUAAGUGUAGUCAACCGUGUAAACUUGAGUAAUCCAUCAACCAUGUAAACCAGAACGCAGCCGAUACUAGAGACCAAAGGAACGUAGUCUUCGUGGCUCAUGUAGAGAAACUUCACACUAAAAGACAGAGAAAGAUCGUGAAAGUAUGGUCACUUGGACUGGGUGUCCGCAAGAUAUCUACAUUUACAGAUCUACCCCCUGGAUAUUAUGAGUAUAACUAUUGCAAAAUUUAAAAUAAUCAGAACCAGGCAGAUUGAUAAGCACCGUCAGAUAAAGUCAGAUAAAUAUAAAGUCUCACAAGAAACCUAGAAAACAUUUUAAGAGUACAUGUGAUCUGAAAAAAAAUCUGGGUGGGAGAUCAAUAGGAUGGGAAAAUAUUCGCCUCCUGUCUUUAAUAAAAUUUAGAUUAUUCAGUCACUAAAGCUAGAAUAAUCCCGAAUUUUAUGGCAAGACAGGAGGCUUCAUAUUUGCUGUUUUAAAGCGUGGAAACCAAAGAAAAAGAAGCAUGGGACGAUUGUCGAAAAUAGAAGGUACGGAAGGUAGAUUCUCUAGACCAAUCAGUGCAUUUUAGGAUGUCUGUAAGGGAUCCCCCAGCUAUAAAGGCGGAAGAGGCAGGAGCACCUCUGACAGAAUGAGCGCCAAAAGAUGAAUCUAUGCCCGCUGAAUAUAGAAGCCAUUUGAUCCAGCGGGCAAUCGUGGGACAAGACACUGGCUUGUGUGGUCGCACAUAUGAGUUAAACAGGGGGCCCGUAGGGGGACGUAGAGGUGAUGUAGAGGCGACGUAGUGUUGGACACAACGAGCAACGUAAAGCGAUGGUCUGUCGGAAAAAAUAAGGGUAAGUAAUCGUUAAGGAAUUAGUUUUAGUGCGGCGAGAAAUGUUGAAACAUAUAGCUUGGGGCGUGAAUUCAAUAGCGUGAAAGUCAAAUGCUUGAAUAUCAGAGACUCUCCUAAAAGAAACCAAGCAGAGGAGCAAAGCUAAUUUGGCCGACAGUUGUCGUAAAGAGAGUGCUUCAUUGGGUGGCCAAGUCUCUAGGAAGGACAAAACGAGCAACAUCCCAAAAAUUAGAAUAUUUUGGGACAGGAGGUCGAGCAAGACGAAUGCCACGCAACAGUCUACAGAUGGAGGGGUGUUUACCUAUUGCUGUAUUAUCAAUGGGGCCAUGAGCUGCCGAAAUUGCUGAACGAAACACAUUAAUGGAUCUGUAGGAUUUACCUUGAUCAAAAAGAGAGGACAAAAAGUUCAUGACGUUAAUCAAAGAAGCUGAAACGGGAUCAAUACACCUUUCCAAGCACCAGCGAUGCCAAACUCGCCAGGCUGAGAGGUAAGAGCGUCUAGUCCCGGGGGCCCAUGAGUCCCAUAAGAGUGCUCUAGCAGACUCCGAAAGUCCUGCAGCAUUCCAGGAUCCCCUGAAACAGUCCAGGCCACUAGCUGGAGAUGACCCUGCAACGCAAGAGAGUGAAAAUUGCCUGCGGGAUCUUUGAGAAGAUCGUGCAUGGCAGGUAGCAGUAGUGGAUAAUUCACCGACAUCUCCAAGAGAUUGGGGAACCAUGGCUGGGUACGCCACAAAGGGGUCAGCAGUGUUAUUGUGGUCCCCUGAGUCCUGAGAUGAUGGAGAGUGCGAAGGAUCAUGGAGAACGGAGGGAAGGCAUAAGUGCCGGUCAUUGGCCAAGAUUGAAGGAAGGCGUCUACUGCCAGAGAGGUCGGAUCCGGCAACCAACUGAAAAAAGUGUCCGUCUGUCGGUUCAGACGAGACGCAAAUAGGUUGAUAUUGAAUGGACCCCGAAGAAGAUGGAGACAGUAAAAAACGUGUGGGUCCAAUUGCCAGUCGCUGGAGUCUCUCCAGUGUCGAGAGAACCAAUCUGCGACUAAGUUGUCUGAACCCGGUAGAUACUCUGCUCGCAGGGAGAUGUUCCUGGUAUAGUUCUUUUGUGAGGUCUGAGAGCAUUUUGGAACGGGAUCCCCCUAAACGAUUCACGUAUUGAACAGCUGAGAUGUUGUCCAUUCUCAGUACUAGGGAACAAUUGUAGGAGUCCUUUGCGAAACUGCGAAUCGCAAAGGUCCCGGCAAUCAACUCGAGGCAAUUGAUGUGCAAUGCUCGUUCUGAUGGGGACCAAGAGCCUCCGGUAGAGAGAUUUACGCAUGAUGCACCCCAGCCCAGCAGACUGGCAUCUGAUUCUAGGAUGUAAUCUGGCUGUGAUCCAAAGAUCGCUCUCCCAUUCCAUGCCUCCAUAUGGUGUAGCCACCAGUUCAAUUCGAGUCGGACUUCGUCUGUCAAGGAGAUCUGUUGAUCGUAAGAUGCAGAGUGACGUAACGAGCGAGUCUUCAGACAUUGCAUUGCUCGGUAAUGUAAAGGAGCUGGGAAGAUCGCCUGAAUUGAGGCGGAGAGUAGUCUGAUUAUGCGAGCUAAGUCGCGAAGGCGGAUAGUCGAAGAGGCUAGAAUUUUUCUGAUGUCUUUUUUGAUGUUCUUGAUCUUUACUGAAGGGAGUUGUAGGACAGCCAAAACGGAAUCUAUUUGGAAUCCUAGGAAUUGAACCACCUGAGAUGGGGUGAGGAUGGAUUUUUGGACAUUGAUCACGAACCCCAAGUUUUGUAACAGAGCUGUGGUCAUGUCUGUAUGGAGGCGUAGAGUGCCUGGGUCCCGAGCCAUAAGGAGGAUAUCGUCCAGAUAUAUGAUGGAGCGAAUCCCUUGGGAGCGUAGCAAGGCCAUGACCGGUUUCAUCAGCUUGGUGAAACACCAGGGUGCGGAACAGAGUCCGAAGGGAAGGCAUGUGAACUGCCAUAAGUCUUGAUGCCAUCUGAACUGUAGGAAACAGCGAUGGGCCGGUGUUAUAGGAACCGUGAGGUAAGCAUCUGUCAAGUCUAAACGGGAGAACCAGUCUCCCUCGCAGAGUAGGUCUUGAAGGAGGUGGAUACCCUCCAUUUUGAAAUGUUGGUAAACAAUAAAAGUGUUUAGGUCUUUCAGGUUGAUAACUGGUCGAAAGUCCCCUGACUGUUUUCGGACCAGAAAUAUGUUGCUUAUGAAUCUGUGAGGGGAUCGAGAACGUUAUAUAGCGCCCUUGGCGACAAGGUCGUUUAGCACAGCCUCCAAAGUCGCAUUGUCCUCUUGAGACAUGUGCAGAGGUGGAGGGGGGAACUCUUGUAGAGGGUCGUUUGCAAAAUCUAUAUGGAAACCAGAUACAGUUUGAAGCAUCCAUGGAUCCUGAGUUAAUAGAGACCACUGUUGGAAAAAAAGGGUUAGCCGACCUGCAAUAGGAACUUGAGAAUAAGAGGGAAGCAUAUCCACGUCCUCUGAUGGAACGUCUAGAGGGAAAGAACUGCUUGUGGUAGAAACGGGUAUUGCCCGAAUUCCAUGAGUCUGCUGGUUGAGGCCUGUAGCCUGUGAAGGCAGCUCUGCCAGUCGUUCGGCCCCUAUAGCGACCAGCUCUCCCGGAAAAACGCUGGGGUCUGAACACCCUGCGAAGGUUCCAUUGUGCCUUGUUAAGGGAGGUAAACACGGAUACGUGUUUAUUCAGGUCUCGUAUGAACCUGUCCCCGAAUAAUAGUCCGUUAACCUCUGGACCAAGUUCUUUGGUGCCUAGUUCUGCCAAUUUGGCAUCAAUUUUAUGUAACACGGCUUUACGCCGUUCAACGGAAAUAGCUACAUUGGCGUUGCCUAACAGGCAUAACGCUCUUUGUGCCCAUUCACGCACCAUGUGUGCGUCAAAAUUGCCUCCUGCUAGCGUCUCAUCAUCAAUUAUAAAAAUCGGGAUAAGCGGGCCUGCUAUAUACAUCAGCCUGUCCUGGGUGGCUUUUAAGCCAACUUCGAUUCCUUUGCGGGGAUCUUUACCCGUCUUAGUUAGAAAAGUGACCAGGAGUGGGUCAAGUUCAGGGGUGACAGCCACCUUAUCAGGGAUCAUAGGCCGUGGACAUUCUGCUCUUAAUUUGGCCCUAAUCUCCUUUUCUAAGGGUUUACAAAGCCAUAAUCUGCAAUAUUUUGCAAUGUGAUCAGGGGGUGUCCAUUCCGCUGAACGAGGGUGUCUGAUGCAGCGUGGGUCAAAUAGAGGACAACCAUUGGUAUCCAGUAGGAUAUCGUCCUUAGUAUUGUCUAAAUUAGUAGUGGACAUAGGGUCAGUGUCCUGAAAGGACUGGGUUUGCGGUAGGAGGAAAGUCUCUGUAACAAAUUCAGAAGGGGAAGGGUCACCUGGGAGAUCCUCCUCUGGAUACGCAUUGUAUUCGUCUAUCACUCGUAGGUGAUAACCAGAGGUUGAAUCCUUUAAGAGGUCGGAUUCUGAGGUCAAAGUGGGUUUGGCAUGAGACAAUUUAGCUGUCUUUGCUGGGGCUUUGCCUUUGCCAGCAGAAGCACUGUUACCCUUCCACGGGCGUUUACGUGGGUCAGAGACCCUGGAAUCAUCAGAGUCUGACAACUGCGAGAUGGUGGCAGUAGUGGCUGUCUGGUCAUGAAAUGCUGCCAAGGCUUUGGGGAUAGAGUCUGCAAUUGCAGCUUGAAGCCAGGCUUUUAAUUCUGCUGAUAUUGCAGGUUCUGGUUGGUCCGACAUGGUGACCAGUAAAAUAGUAGUGGGUUCACCACAGAAUCAGUAUACCAAAAGGUAUAUUAAACAACUUUUAUUUUAUUUUAUUUUUUUUAAUUUUUUUUUUUUUUUGUAUUAUAUAUAUUAACAAACUUUACAAAAAACAAGUAAAAGCAGGGGCUGUCUUAUUGGGGUUCACCCAGAUAAUAUGCAGUCACCUUGAAGGGGACUAAGUGGGGUUCAUCCACAAUUAUGGCAGUUAAACUGUCAAUAUAAUAAUGACAGGGGUAACCUGUGCAAAUCAAUAAAAUAUAUAAGGGGUUCACCCUGAGAGAUAAGGCACGAGGGGUCACCCUCAAUAAAGAGGCACAAGGGGAUCACCCUUAAAUCAAAAAGGCAAGAGGGGGUCACCCUCUAAUAGGCAUAGAGCUGUAUAGUAUAGUUUGAGAGCAAUCUGCAAAUAAAAACACAAAUAGGCUAAUAUAAGCAAGUGUUCUGUGUAAUAUUCAGAUGUAAUAACAAAAUGUACCAGCAGGGGGCAAUUAAACUUAUCGUCUAACAGAGCUGUAAUCCAGUAGCAGAGAGCUGUUCACCGAAAAAGCGCGCGAACGGAAACUAACCGCCGAACAGAAGAUGGCCGCCGGCAUAGAAGGAGGAAGGCGGGAAACUGCGUGUCAAUCAAAUGACGCGAAAAAACGGGCGGUACGGAAAUAGAUCGCGGGCGUGAUUAAAACGGACCUACGGACGGAAUUUCACCAAGGAAAAGGUUAUUAAGGUUUUACUACAAAAAAACCCAGUCAGUCAUAAAUAAAAAGCACAGGGAAGGGACUGAACAGUGGGCUGACCUGUGAAAAGGUCUAUGUGGUAAAGUGCACAGAUAAAAUAAACACACACAUUACCCCAUGGAAAUAAAACAGACAGGGAAAGUUAAUUAAAGGAGUCAAAAAAUAUAUGGAAAAAAACAAUAUAAGGUAGGUCAAUAAUAUAUAUUAGAGAGCUAUAAUUGGAAUAGACUCACCCGGGAGGCAAGCAGCAAAGAAAGAGGAUUUGGGAGGAGCCUGACAGACUGUUAUGUUCUAAUAUGUGUCCUGAUUGGUUGAUUUUUUCUCUAUAUGUUUAACUAUUUCUUUGCUGCUGGGAGGUUCAGUAAAGAAGGUUAAAGCAAAUAUGAAGCCUCCUGUCUUGCCAUAAAAUUACAUAAACUGUAAUAAUGAAACCAGUCUAUAGAUUGUAAUCACAGAACUUUUCCUACUCUUUUGACUAGGAAACCUAUCUGAUGAUAUCAGUACCAAUAUUAGUAGAGUGUUUACCUAGGAUUAGGAGUUGGAGUAGGGUUUGUGCUAGGUUAGAGUUAUGGUUAGUUGCACGGUUAGGGUCAGUGAAAGAUUAGUGUUAGGGUAAGCUGUUCUAGGGUUAUGGAUAGCGUAGGCGUAAGGUAGGUACAUGGGUAGCGCUAGUUUAAGCAUAUUGGUAUAGCAUUACAUCAGGCAUUGGUAAAGGGUUAACCAUUGCUACCAAUAAUGAAUUUAGAUUAAACAUAUUAGGAAUCUAACAAUCAGGACAGAUACGUGAAUAUAUUUUGAGGUUUUUUUUCCACUGGAUGUGUAAAAAAUGUGAAAUAUAUAUAUAUAUAUAUAUAUAUAUAUAUUUUCCAUUUUUAAAAUUUUACUCACACCUAAAGUUGUGUUAGGAAUGCAUAUAGGAUAUUAAAAGAGAGCACUUUCUGUCUUUUACAAAACAAUAUACAAUAUAUAUGGCAUUUAAAGAGAAACCCUUAAAUUAUGGUGGAAGAAACAUAUAGCGCAAAUUAUAGGGGUUUUUUUUGGUUCAGAACUUGGACAAAUAAGUCUAUCCUUAGGGGGUUAACCCUUUAACUUUGUUACAAUGUUCUAUGUGGUCCGAAUUUUAAUUGACUUUAAAGCCGUUGCUGCGGCAUCGAACGGCGUAAUGCUUUCAGCCCCCGCACUCUAAAAUACUCACCUAUCCUGGCAAUCCACUUCGGGGGGACUGACUGACAACCCAUGCAGUCCCCCUUUGGCAAGUCUGGCCCUCCUCGGCCAUGUGAUUGUGAUUACAUCUUGAUCACAUGGCUGCAACAGCCAGCUUGGCAACUGCCUGGGUUGUCAGCAAAUAAAGUUAAAAAAAAAAAAUGGAAAAUUCACAUAUAUGCCAAACAUGUUUUAAUAUAAUAUUAAUGAAAUUUUAUAUGUAGAUAUAUAUGAAGAGAGAUAGAGAGAGAGGUUGUAGCCGCAUUAAUCCAGUGAUGCAGAUGUAAAAUGAGCCUCAGAAAUGCUUCAGACUUGAGAAAGGGAGGUUCUCCCAAAAGGUUGUCAUAACAAAAUUCUGUUAGUCCAAUAAAAAAGGUAUUACAAGAUACACAUUUUAUCUGUGAUUUUGUGUGUAUAUAUAUAUAUAUAUAUAUAUAUAUAGGUGUCCAAAAAAACAGAAUGCACUCCAGGGUCUUUGUAAAGUAAAAUUAAACUUUUAAUUCAUAUACAAAAUAAAAAAAUUAACAUCAAUGUUUCGGCUCACAUCUGGAGCCUUCUUAAGGAUGGCAGAUACUACAACCAAUACCAGUGUUUUGUGGAAGCUAUUUUUUUUGUUAGCAUUACCCAUUUUUGACCCUUGAAGAGAGAAGACUUAUCAUAAUACAACAAAUCACAAUUUGGUUUACAAGGUACCUUAACCACCUUUCAAUGUCCCCAAUUUCCUGGCAAACCAUUUUCAAGUUAUUUAACAAAAACAGUAAUAGCUUUUCCAGCACCUAAAGGUGUCUCACUAAUAAUGGGGGGGUGGGGGGGGUAAGGGAAGAGGGACGGUCCCAGCAUGCACUCAAAGAGUCCCAAUCUCAAAUAAACCUUAGUACGUGUUCUUACAAAGGCAUGGAAAAUGUCAGCUGCACGGUUCUAUUGUCACUUUGCAGAACUUUCUAAUAGCUUUCCAAUCUAUUUUCUGAUCUUGAUGUACUCAUGAAUAAUCUACCUGCCUCAGAUAUCCAGAUGGCCAAUACUCUUGAGAUCAAAACACAGGUUUCCAAUUUUAAUAGGUUCUUUUCUCCAACUGAAAUCUGUUUUUAUAAUCUCACAUACUGGCGUGCUUUUGUUAUUGAAAUGUAACCUUCUGAGUUGUCUUCAUUUAAGGUCCAGGGCAAGCAAAUGUCAGUUAAACCACAAGACAUCUUCAUCCCGAUUCCCAUUACUGUCUUUUAUUUUAAUCUAAUUCUCCGUGAGUUCCAUUUUCAAGCAAAGAAAUAAUAUAUGUCUGAUUUGAUUAAUUUUUUUUUAUUACCAUACAGCCGAUAUUAAAAAGAAAAACAGCUUAGGUUAUUGCUCGAGAUAGCGCAGAUAAUAAAUCCCUUCGCGCCUCCAUCUCUCUGGCUUAUAAUAACUGACUAUUAAAGAUCAAAGAUGACUGCAUGCUGGAUCAUGCAGCUAAAUUAAUAAAACAUCAGUCUCUUUAUUUUCUAUGCUGUAACUCUGGGCCUGAAUCACUGUUACUGAGGAAGUAAUCAGGCUUCAUGUGACCGCCAUGUUGUCAUUACAAUUUAAAAUAAAUCAUUAUGAAUUGGUCAAAUUCUUUAACCUUUUACAAUCUUUUCAAUGAACCACUGACACAUCUAUCAGUUGCUUAAUGAGAUGCUAGGUUUAUUCAUUUUUGUAGUGUUUAAUGCUGUUUAUUUAAUUUUUUACUGUAAAACAGUCUUGCGUUAACAUAAAUGCAAACAAAAAUUAAUCACAAAACAUAACAAGUAAUAAUAAGGGACAGGGGCCACGGAGAUGACACUACCAAAACCCAAUCCAUCAUAACAAAUAUCAUUCAAUAUCAAUUGAUGCAUUUAAAAAAGAAUGCUAUUCAUUUCAUUAAAACUCUUAGACUUAGUGUGUUAAAUAUCUCACCUACUUUAGUGUGUUGAGACUUUCCAAUGCAUCUGUCUAUUGACCUAUGGAUUUAUAGUGCAUUAACAGAGCAAGCUUUGAUCGUAUGCUCUUAUUCUUAAUUGUUCAAUGCCCAGAUCCUCAUACACCAUCCCAUCUGCUGGUGCACCUGCAUUACUCCCAACUAAGGAUGCACCGAAAUGAAAAUUCUGGGCUGAAACCGAAAAUAUUUUUUUCCCCAAAACAGGGAGGGGGUGACAGUGACUGAGGGAGGGGGUGACUGGUGACAUAGACUGAGGGAUAAACUGACAGAGUGACUGAGGGUGGGAGUGACAGAGUGGCUGAGGGAGGGUGUGACUGGUGACAGUGACUGAGGGAGGGAGUGAGUGAAAGAGAGGGUGACUGAGGGAUGGUGUGACAGAGUGACUGAGGGAGGGUGUUACCUUUGUUUCCCUGGUGGUCCAGUGUCCUGGCUCCCUGGUGGUCCGCUGGGUUGUCUCUCCAGUCUGCAGCUCCACCGGGUGGGAGCUGCAGAGCAUUGCCGUGGUAACCCAUGGCAACGCUCUGAUUGGCCGGAGACCGCUAGAUACAGCAUAGUCUGCAGCUCACACCCGGCAGAGCUGCAGACUGUGCUGGCUGUGUCCCCAGGCAGACGUGAGGGGCCUCGCACCAGGUGGCACACAGGGCAAGCCGCCAGACCCCCUCCCGAUUUUCAGCAGAUUUGACCCUUUUCCGGCCGAAAUAGGAUAGGCCAAUUUUCGGACGAAAAUUUUGGCAGCCAAAAUUUGGGUGCAUCUCAGAAUUGUAAGUCCAACCUCACAGGGAAAGAUUUAUUAAAGUGUUCUGAAAAGUGUCCUUUGUUUUGCUCUGUAAACAUUUCUGAAAUUGUUCUUAUCUAAAAAAAUUCAGCUUUUCCCUACCUAAAUUCUACAAGACCAUCAAAUUUAGACAGGCUGUAAAAGACAAGUGAAACAGAACACUUUUCUGGUGAAAAAAAAAAUCAGAAAAUUGAUAAAUUCAUUGUUACCAAAAAAUGGUGCACAUUUAAAAAGGGUGGUUAGAGUGUAAGAUAAGCUACAGACAAAAACACUCAACAAAUUUAAUGAGGUGUGUCAAAAAAACAGCAAAAGGAACAAAAGAGCCCUUAUAACGCCUACACAGUCUCAUAUUCUAAUAUAACAUUACAUUUGGGGGGGAAAAAUAAAAAAUGUCCUGUGAAACUAUGAUGAAUAUGGAAUGAUGUGUUUGCAUACUGGUAACUUUCCAUAUUGCAUUUGAGGCUCUAUAUGAGAGAUUUACAUAUUAAACAUUUUUAUUUCUUUUUUUUCUUCUGAAUAUUAAUGCAAUAUGAAUUGUUUCUAAUUGGCCAGGAAUCCAUAUUUCUGAUUUCCCUUCAGAAAAUAAUGAUGCCUCUUGUAAUGAGCUGAUAGUCUGGUUCGGUGCCACACACCUUCGUUUCAGUAAAUGCAUUUCAAUUUAAGCAUUUUAUUACCAGGGCUGCUGACAUCCUUGUCAAAAGUAGAUAAGCCAGCCUUUUUUAAUAACCUUCUUUCUAUGUAUUACCUGGUACUAAAUGAGUCGUGAGGAAAUUAAUUUCAUUCAGUCUUGAUGUCAAUUAAACAAGACACAGUGAUACAUUUCAAGCUUGAUAGAAUAUUGUCAUUUGUUAUUCCUUAAUUAAAGUCUUCCUGACAAAGGUUGAAUCCUUAACUAAUGCACUGCAUUGUCAUAGUCAUGUUUCAUUUAAAAGGCAUAUGCAUGGAUUUUUCACAAAAUUAGAUUCUGGUUCUAGAUUGGUGCCAUGAGAACAUCUGUUUUCAUUGAUAUAGGUGAACUGUUUUGAACAUAGCUGUGAGCACUAUUUGUUUUGGUGAAUGGACUUUAGACCAUUUGCAUACUUUAGGUUUCAUUGACUACCUGUUGGUCAUUGUCAAGGGUUGGAUUGGUUUCAGACAUUCAGCCCAGGAUUAAUUGCCAGGGGUUGGGUUGGCUCCUCACAAAUAAGCAGACAUUCAGCCCCAAAUAAGUGCUCUGACAUAAGAAAUAGAGAAAUAUUUACCAGAAGUUGCGAUCUUGUUUUAUGGAACUUAAUGAAUACUCCACUAUUAGUGAUCGGAGUGUUUUAAACUCAAGACAUAUACAAGAUAAAUCGUGGGCUCACCCUCCAGAGCGAGGUAGACACUCAGUGCAGAAUUAGUGAUCCAACUCUUUCGAGCUAGUGACAUAUUCAAUAGAAUUAGCGGUCUCACCCUCCUGUGCGAGACAGACACUCAGUGCAGAAUUAGAGGACUCUCAAGUAAACUGUUAGGGAUGGAUGUAGUAGAACGAAACUCUGCGUACAUACAAUAUGAGGUGCCAGUGGCAUUGGUACUUGCUUGAGUUUAGUGGUAGGUAAGAACUGCUGGCUUGGCAUCCUUUAUCCCCCUCAUUUGUUAGUCCCUCUGAUUAGAAAAUGUAAGGCUAGGUGGGGGAUAGGUUCAAAUAUUAUUACCUGCCGAGCCAAAAUGGCAGACACAGAUACAGGGGGGGUAGGAGUGAUCGGGGGGAAGAACUGGACAGACAAAGGGAAGGGACUGAGGGCUAGCCAAGAUGGUGCCCAGACCUAUCCUCUCCUCUAUAGUCUUUGGGGGCUCCACCUACUGUGAGGUGAGGGCUGGCCUCAUAAUUGCUCUGCAUAUUAAUAGCUAAGUAGUGCACUUGUUCCGUGCUUGGAUGCUCUGGUGCUUUCUCCCAGUCUCCUGGCAUUCUGGUUCUUGGUUCCUGACCCUGGUCCUUGUUCCUGAUCCUAGGCCUUGGUCACUUCAGCCCCACCUUCAACACCACCUUCAUCACAGUAACACCUUGGCCUCUUUUUUUGUGCAGGAGGCAAUAGAUCAUGGGUACUCUUGAUGUCAGGCAUCACACCCCAGGUCCUCUUGUGUUAUAAGGUUCUAUGGAUCACUUGGCCUCUUUUUGUCCUGGAUUCAAUAGACCACAGGACCUUUUGUGUUCUAGGGUACUAUGCAUCACUUGGCCUAAUUUUGUGCAGGAGGCAUUAGACCACAGAACCUCUUGUGUUAUAGAGUAAUAUGGAUCACCUGGCCUCAUUUUGCGCAUGAGACCAUAGACCAUGUGAUCUCAUUUUGUGAAGAAGGCAAUAAGCAUUACAUUCUACUAUGCCUCAAGAAUAUAAUAUCAUUUAUGUGGAUUUUGAGAAACUAAAAUAGAAACAUAAACUCGUCCGACACUAUGUUACAUUACUUUUAACUUUUUCAACCUCUUUAAUGGGAAGUAAAUUGUAUGUUAGCGCUAUCUUGCAGAUGCUUUUUACAUUUCUAAAUGUCAUUGAAUCAAUAUGUAUUAUGGUUUUCGUGACAUUUAAGUACAUAGAAGGUUACCUGCCUUUCAUGAACAUUAGCGCAUUUCAGCUUAUCUGAGAAGCGUAUUAAACCUUAUCUGUCUUUUCCCUCAUUUCAUGUAAUUGUCAGUAAUUGUCUCACGAAAAUAGUUAUGGGGUAUAUUCAAACAAGAAAAUUCAUUGUACAAGACUAUACGGAUACAGAUUGGUGUAUUUGCCAUCGAACACUGUCAUUUUCUUCUCAUUAUAUGCUCUGUAAAUGAAUCUGCACAAAGAGAUAUAACACUGGCAAAUAGAAAUGCUUCGUGAACAACACAGUUGAUGGUUCACUCGGCAACAAACUGACAAAAAAAAACCUUCCUGCGUUCCCGUUUAUCUACUAACUUGAAGGCCAUUCAACCAACAAAAAGCUUGAAUGAGACAUGUACUCAAACGAACCACUGUGAGACAAUAACGGUUAACUUCCAAUGGUUGCAUUCGACAAUGCUUUCAUAAUUACCUAUUGUCUACCCUUCAUUACAAUUACACGGCCUUUUAGAAAAUUUAAGUAUUUGAAUACCGUAAACUGCAUGUACUCAUGUGAAAAUGUGAUUGUUCUAUUAGUGAAAUUAUAAAUUUAAAAAGUAAAAUGCCCAUAAAAAAUAGAAUUGACUCCCUUAAUUUUUAUUCGUUUUACAAAUGCAUUUUGCUAUAAAAUGUCAUUACAUUUAAUUAUUAUUGUUGUUAUUAUUAUCAUUUAUAUAUCGCCAACAUAUUCUGUAGCGCCCUAACAAUUAUUAAAACCAUGGCAGGCGAAAUAGUGAGCUGGGCUAGGGAGGGGAUGGUAGUGAUGAGGGUGGUAAAAUUAGAGAAACGUCACCCAGGAAGAUGGUGAGCUUUCGUGAAGAGAUGUGUUUUCAGUUAGUUAACUAACCCUGGAUUUAGAGCAGUAUACUAAAGGAGGAUCACUGUACACAUCAUUAGAGGACCAGUUCCUCUGUUACCACAACUACUGUGUAGUUUUAAAAAAAAAAAAAGAAAAAAAGACCCGGGCAAAUUAAUACUGAUGCACACAGUACAGACAGAGCAGCACUGGCGUUACCGUGUACCAAGGUUAGGCAACCUGGUCCUUACUGCCCACUAGUGAGCGGUUUGGGAUAUCAGGUGGGCAGUAGUGGGUUCUGCAGAAAACGCCCAGUGGGCCUAGAUGGCUGUGGACCAAGGCCUGCAGGGGAGAUCCUUUCAUCUCCCCUGCCGGCCCAUGCAGAGCCAGCCUUGCUGUAAGCUGUCUCGGGCUGGUGAGGAGAUCAAAGAACUCCCUCAACAUCCCGCUGGCACUUAGUUUGAGGGAGGGCCUGGGAGUCUCUUUUUUUUCCUCCCGCGAGCAGGGGAGUUUUAGUGUUGCAUCGGGUUACCAUGGCAAUGCUCUGAUACAGUGCUGUGCUCACAAAAGGAUAUGAGAGUCAGCCUAUAGCUGCAAACUAAAGUGAACAUGCCACCACUGGAUAACCAGAGCUUGCAGUAUUAUGUUCCCACACCCUGGUAAAAUGUAAGAAGAAGGGAGAGGAAGACAUUAAGAUAGAUUUUCAGUCUACACACAGCAUAGACCCUAUGCAUCGUUCACACACAAGCACACACUGCCCCCCCUCACACACACACUGCCCCCCUUACACACACACACUGCCCCCUCUCACACACACACACACACUGCCCCCUCACACAUUCACUGCACCCUCACACACACACACACACUGCCCCCUCACACAUGCACUGCACCCUCACACACACACACACACACACACACAGCACCUCACAGACACACAUAGAAAAAAAGUAGAAUACAAAAUAGAAAAAAAGAAAAAAAUAGAUACAUUUAAGUACAUAUUUAAAAAAAUUAAAUUCCUUGUAAAAAAAUUUUUUUUAAAAAUUGCACCUGCGCUAUAGAAUUAGUUACUGUGGAAUGGUGCAAAAGUGGGUGGUAGGUAUUAAAAGGUUGACUACCCCCGCUGUAUAGUAACCCCCUACUCUACUGCUUCCUUUACAGGAUUAUAGGUUGUGGGCACAUUCUGGCUCCUAUUCUGGCUUAGGGUUGUAUGGCAAAUUAUUGUAUGAGUGUCUAAUGUGUAUAUAAGAAUGGAAGUGGCUUGUUAGGUAUGUGAAUGUGUGUAGCUAAACUUAUAAAACUUUAUGUGAGUGUAAUAGAGAGUACGGUUAGAAGGGACUCAUCAACUCGACUGGGUGUAGGUUAACCCCUAAUUAACAAGCAUUACCAUACCAAACAUAGAUACCAGCCCACAAAGUAUAUAAAAUGUAACCAUUAAUACGGUAUCUAGUAAUCCAUAAACACAGUGUAAAUAUCUUAAAUGAUAUAUGUAGGUUUAAUCAUACAAAUCUCAACUACAGAAAAGCAAGAGAAUAUGUUUGAACCAAUCAAAAUUAAAUAAUUAAGUAAUUGAAUGAGAAAUUUCAAAGAUUUCCUAAACUAUAGGAAAAUCACUCUUCUACAGUGUAGGUGUGAUGCUAGGAGUAUAGAUGGAACAGACGAUUGAUAUAUGAAAGUAUGAAUAGUAAUAGUAUCUUAUCCGAAAGAAAACAUGUAACAGUGUGUCUACGUAAUAUCACUUUCCUAAAUAUGAAGGACAGAAAGGAAAAGUCUACCAAACAUUAUAUAAAAAAAAUGGGGUAUCAAAAUUAGUGUCCCAUUCCUAGGUUGACAGCAGGGGAUUGUUCUAUUUUACACCCCUAGAAUCACACCUACACUGUUCUAGAGUGAUUUUAAUACAGUUUAGGAUUUCUUUGCAAUUUCUCAUUCAAAUAUUUAAUUUUGAUUGGUUUAAUAUUCUCUUGCUUUUCAGUAGUUGAUAUUUGUAUGAGUAAAGGGAGACGAGUGGUUAUGACCUAGUGAUCAGUUGUUAGAUCUAGAGUCUGAGAGCCAGAACCAAUGAUUUCCUAUAAAUUCCACUAUAAAAGAUUAUACAAUAUGGGGGUCGGAGCCUGACAGCCACUCUGACUGGUCGCUCAUCUUGUGAGCUCCAUGCUACAAAGCCUCUAAACAGAUCUAAUUGCAACUUACAGCAUGGAAUACAAUCAGGAGACCUACCCCGGAGACAGGAGGUAUCCUAUACCGUUGCCUUUGCUGAGUUUCUGACCGAGAUCGGCGGCUCCCUCAGGCGGCAGACCCGAGGCCUAAGAGAAGGCCUACUUACAGUGGACGUGCGAGAGGUGGCCAAUACCUCUGUUAGCUAUUCUAAAAUAUAUUAGAGGUCUUGCCUCCACUCGCACCGCCCUUCUGAAGUGGCCCAGUCCUGACCUCAACCUGAUUGAGAUGCUGUGGCAUGACCUCAAGAAAGCGAUUCACACCAGACAUCCCAAAAAUAUUGCUGAACUGAAACAGUUCUGUAAAGAGGAAUGGUCAAGAAUUACUCCUGACCGUUGUGCACAUCUGAUCUGCAACCACACAAAACUUUGGUUGAAGUUAUUGCUGCCAAAGGAGGUUCAACCAGUUAUUAAAUCCAAGUGUUCACAUACUUGUUCCACCUGCACUGUGAAUGUUUACAUGGUGUGUUCAAUAAAAACAUGGCAACAUUUCAUUCUUUGUGUGUUAUUAGUUUAAGCAGACUGUGAUUGUCUAUUGUUGUGACUUAGAUGAUGAUCAGAUCACAUUUUAUGACCAAUUUGUGCAGAAAUCCAUAUCAUUCCAAAGGGUUCAUAUACUUUUUCUUGCAACUGUAGGCUUUUUCUUGCAACUGUAGGCUUUUUCUUGCAACUGUAGGCUGACAUCUGCCUCCUAUACUUAGCAGCACUGUAGUGCAAGAGUUUCAUUGCUAUGUUAAGUAGUACCUUAACCAAAGCUAACAUAAUCUUACUCAAUAGCAUGUUUCCUGUCUCAUAAACCUAUUUUUCUCCUAUUAUGACCUCUUAUGCAGUCAGUAGGUUUGACAUCUGUUGACAAUACUUUUGAUCCCUCGCCGCUGACAUACCUAUUAUGCUUGUUUUCUUUGCUUUAAAAAAAUAAUAAUGUGCAGUACUAUUCUAUGCCAUGAUAAGAAUUGUUUCUCAUGACUAUUGAGGCUUGCCUCUGCUAUUGUGGCUUUGCGGGCCUGAUUUAUACAUCCAUACACAUAGAAAUAAAGAAUAAAAAAAUAAAUAACAAAAGAUUAUACAAUAUUUUAUUUGCAUACAUAAUUGUCCUUAACAUUUGGCUUUGUGCAUUUGCUUGAACUACUCAUAGGAGACUUUUUUUUUUUGUUCUUCGGACUACAUGCUUUUUUUCCAUGAUUAAUUAUCUUUUUGUUUCUUAUUGCACACAGCAAGAUUCUUCUCCACUUUAAUUGAGUGAUUCACAUACAUGUAACAGUUAUUAAUUGAGAACAUUUUCUGUUUAUUGUUUACCUCUACUAUGUAGGUGGCAUAAAGUGUCCUGUGUGCAGUUUUGUCUAUAGUACAAAAUGGGAAUUUAACAGACAUCUCAAGAACAAACAUGGCCUUAAAUUGGUUGAAAAUGACGGAGACUCCAAGUGGGAGGUAAGUGUUCAAAUUACAUAACAGUGG